AGCAGCAUGGCAUAGCGGUUUGAGUGUUAGACCAUGACUCUGGAGACCAUGGUUCAAUUCCCAGUUUGGCCA